rnacentral:lncRNA from 1 species
UGCUACUCCAUCAUCGCGUUCGAUAUACUGAAGAUUGGCACGCAACGAUGAAAUGUAUUUGUAUUUGUUCAUUGACGUCGAGACAUAAUCCAUGCCGUUUUCCCAUUCUCUGUUAAGGUGAUCACAUGCGAUCUAAAGUAACCCCUAGUCCGUUUCCUCUUUGCUAGGAAGGUUAAUGGAUGAGAAUAGAUUAUAACCGCACGGGAGAUUUUUCGAGGAAAAUAUAGACAUGGACGGUCAUCAGCUCAUCAUGUCCGGUAUAUACUAUGGAUGAUGGAUCUGGUAUCUGACAAUCUAAAUUCGUGAGGUCGAGAGGUUAGACUGCGAUCCCAAUGAC